UACGUAGGGUGCGAGCGUUGUCCGGAAUUAUUGGGCGUAAAGAGCUUGUAGGCGGUUUGUCGCGUCUGCCGUGAAAAUUCGAGGCUCAACCUCGAACUUGCGGUGGGUACGGGCAGACUAGAGUGUGGUAGGGGAGACUGGAAUUCCUGGUGUAGCGGUGAAAUGCGCAGAUAUCAGGAGGAACACCGGUGGCGAAGGCGGAUCUCUGGGCCUUACCUGACGCUGAGGCGCGAAAGCUAGGGGAGCGAACAGG
rnacentral:rRNA from 1 species